GAGAGUCGAUCAAAGUUACCCUACAAUCAUAUAUCUGGUUCCCGAUCAUUUGCAGCAGCGAUGUCACUAAUCAAAUCAAAAAAUGAUGGGCAAGCUCCCUCUUUUCCGGAAUUUUACAAGGAAACCCACUACCAAAAAAAAAUGAAAGUAUGGGUAAACGAGAAAGCACAAGAUACCUAUGAGCGAUUAGUCAACAAGACUAUCGAACAAUCUCAGCCCGAAGUUACAUCCCCGAUGAA